GAGGCUUUGAAGUGUGGACGCCAGUCUGCAUGGAGCCGACCUUGAAAUACCACCCUUUAAUGUUUGAUGUUCUAACGUUGGCCCCUUAUCGGGGUUGCGGACAGUGUCUGGUGGGUAGUUUGACUGGGGCGGUCUCCUCCUAAAGAGUAACGGAGGAGCACGAAGGUUGGCUAAUCCUGGUCGGACAUCAGGAGGUUAGUGCAAUGGCAUAAGCCAGCUUGACUGCGAGCGUGACGGCGCGAGCAGGUGCGAAAGCAGGUCAUAGUGAUCCGGUGGUUCUGAAUGGAAGGGCCAUCGCUCAACGGAUAAAAGGUACUCCGGGGAUAACAGGCUGAUACCGCCCAAGAGUUCAUAUCGACGGCGGUGUUUGGCACCUCGAUGUCGGCUCAUCACAUCCUGGGGCUGAAGUAGGUCCCAAGGGUAUGGCUGUUCGCCAUUUAAAGUGGUACGCGAGCUGGGUUUAGAACGUCGUGAGACAGUUCGGUCCCUAUCUGCCGUGGGCGCUGGAGAACUGAGGGGGGCUGCUCCUAGUACGAGAGGACCGGAGUGGACGCAUCACUGGUGUUCGGGUUGUCAUGCCAAUGGCACUGCCCGGUAGCUAAAUGCGGAAGAGAUAAGUGCUGAAAGCAUCUAAGCACG
rnacentral:rRNA from 1 species